UAGCGUAGGGGGCGAGCGUUGUUCCGGAUUUAUUGGGCGUAAAGAGCUCGUAGGCGGUUCGAUAAGUCGGACGUGAAAUCUCCACGCUCAACGUGGAGGGGCCGUUCGAUACUGUCGUGACUCGAGUCCGGUAGGGGAGUGUGGAAUUCCCGGUGUAGCGGUGAAAUGCGCAGAGAUCGGGAGGAACACCCGUAGCGAAGGCGGCACUCUGGGCCGGUACUGACGCUGAGGAGCGAAAGCGUGGGGAGCAAACAGG
rnacentral:rRNA from 1 species